rnacentral:rRNA from 1 species
UACGGGGGGAGCAAGCGUUGUUCGGAUUUACUGGGCGUAAAGGGCGCGUAGGCGGUCGUGACAAGUCACUUGUGAAAUCUCCGGGCUUAACUCGGAACGGUCAAGUGAUACUGUCGGACUAGAGUACAGAAGGGGCAACUGGAAUUCUCGGUGUAGCGGUGAAAUGCGUAGAGAUUGGGAGGAACACCAGUGGCGAAGGCGGCUCACUGACCGGAACGUAGACGCUGAGGCGCGAAAGCGUGGGGAGCAAACAGG